CUCAAGCUGAGCUUUACUUGGGCGGUUUUUACAGCUGCCCUUAAUUCAGCAACUGCCAGUUCUUUCCUAUUUCACCACCCUCAACACUCAACUGAUUCUGACCUACCAGGAUGCCCACAUGAUCGUUGUUGAGAGUAGCAACAUGGCCGACAGCCUAUUCAUGGGAAACUGGCAUACGUACUCGCCCCGCACGCUCAGAACGCUUCAAAUGAUUUGUAUCCGAGCUCAGAAGCCGUUGGCAAUGACUAUCGGGCCAAUAGCGCAAGUCAAAGUUACAGCUCUUAUUCAAAUUUACAAGGCCUUGUACUCGUAUAUGUGCAUUAUGAUGAAGAUUUAAAUACCCAAACGGGUCAGUUUUAGUAUUAAUUAUAUAUGUAUUAUGCAAAUAUAUCAACUAGUUAUAGUUUCAAUGAAGUACACCUUGGCAAAUUGGUGCUUACUAACUAAAAAUGCAUGUUUAGUAGGGGGAAUUAAUGCAGCACUUACCUGCAACAAAAAUAAAAAAAUUAGUAACUUAUUUUUUUAAAACUCCGCUUUAACGUUUUGGAAUGCAACUUUCAACAUGGCGCUACUCCAUGUUAGAAUUGGAAACUUUUCUCAACCCCUUUAACCUAUUGAAAACUCUCAAGUAUGCUGAGGAGUUUCUUUGGAAACUGAUUACUUUGAGAGCAGUUUACGGCAAAAUGAGCGCAAUCUGGUGAAAUCCCCUUACAUAACCUGGCAAGCAUAGUGUCCGUUUAGGACUACAGAGGAGCGUGGGGGCAAAGGGGCUGCGCUGUGCACAACAUUUUAUGA
rnacentral:lncRNA from 1 species